UGCAUUCACUACUGUAAGUCGCUCUGGAUAAGAGCGUCUGCUAAAUGGUAAAAA
rfam:Salmo salar isolate Sally breed double haploid chromosome ssa15, whole genome shotgun sequence.